GAUGAACGCUGGCGGCGUGCCUAACACAUGCAAGUCGAACGGAGUCCAGCCUUUAAGACCUUCGGGUCAAAGAGGGGAAGACUGAGUGGCGGACGGGUGAGUAACACGUGGGCAACCUGGCUCAUAGAGGGGGAUAACAGAGAGAAAUUUCUGCUAAUACCGCAUAAGCACACACUGCCGCAUGGCAGAGGGUGAAAAGAGAAUCGCUAUGAGAUGGACCCGCGUCUGAUUAGCCAGUUGGCAGGGUAAGAGCCUACCAAAGCGACGAUCAGUAGCCGAUCUGAGAGGAUGAACGGCCACAGUGGGACUGAGACACGGCCCAAACUCCUACGGGAGGCAGCAGUGGGGGAUAUUGCACAAUGGGGGGAACCCUGAUGCAGCGACGCCGCGUGAGUGAAGAAGUAUUUCGGUAUGUAAAGCUCUAUCAGCAGGGAAGAUAAUGACAGUACCUGAAGAAGAAGCCCCGGCUAACUACGUG
rnacentral:rRNA from 1 species